AAUCAACGCUGGCGGCGUGCCUCAGACAUGCAAGUCGAACGAUUAAAGCUCCCUUCGGGGAGUGCAUAAAGUGGCGCACGGGUGAGUAACACGUAAGUAAUCUACCCUCGAGUGGGGAAUAACGUCCGGAAACGGGCGCUAAUACCACAUAAUGCAGCGGCACCGCAAGGUGACAGUUGUUAAAGAUUUAUCGCUUGAGG
rnacentral:rRNA from 1 species